GGAGCCCAUCCGGUCGGAGCUGUGCAGCCUCCCUUCAUUAUUUUGCAUAGGGGAAGUGAAAGAGAGGAAAACGUUUCGUCCAACAUGCAGCCCAUGACCUUUCCUGCAUCUUCACACACUUCACACAAAAAGAUGAGGACGUUUCAAGGGUGAGGCAGAAAGACAGAAGAAGUAGGAGGGGUCUUUUGUGGGCUCUAGUGUCCCUUGUUCGAAGGUAGGCUGACGGGGAAGGAGAAGAGGAAAGGCAUGCGGUAAAUGUUGAUGGGUCUGGGAACUGAACCCACGACAGCCGCGUCGAGGACUCAAGGCCUCCAAGCGUGGGUUGCCCUAUCCCCUACGCCACCAUGGAACGCCCGAAAGUUGCUCUUGACCUUAUUUGCUUGAGUUGAAAUCAAGCAAAUAAAUGUUGAAAUAUAAAAACAUAGCCAACUAAUUGGAGACAUAUUUAAAAACAAAAUAAUACAUAAUAACUGUAAAAUUUCUCCUUCGCUUUACAGCAGUCUAGCUCCAACUUAUAUGUUCUGAUCAUAUUUUUUAAUGUUUCCGCUGGUAUUUUUAUCAUUUAUAUGUAAUGUUGAGGUCCAGGCAUGUAAGGUUGGAAAGGCUCUUUGCCAUCUCUAUAAUCUUCAGCUCCCUCCAGAGAUAUCAGUUUCAAGUCAAAAUUCUGGCCCUACCACUCCAAAUCAUUAACAUUACUUCCCGAAAGAAGAAAAUGUUGAAUUAAAAGAAUUUUUUAAACAUCCAUUUUACAUCUGAUACUCUUUUUAGAUUGUUUCACUAUUUUUUAAGAUAGGUUAGGUUUAGUGCUAAGUGAUUAAAUUAAAAUAAUCAAAUGUAAAUCUGAAUGACUGCAUGAACUGAAAUGUAUAUAUACAUUAAUUUUUUUAAGGUUGCUUGUGUUACAAAAGGACAAGCUUAAAUGAGUUGCAACAUGAGUUGAUUAUAUUAUAUUAUAUUAUAUUAUAUUAUAUUAUAUUAUAUUAUAUUAUAUUAUAUUAUAUUAUAUUAUAUUAUAUUAUAUUAUAUUAUAUUAUAUUAUAUUAUAUUAUAUUAUAUUAUAUUAUUAACUUUACAAUUGAAAACAAAUUGUGAUUGAUGAGGUCACCAGCAGGUGGCAAUCUUCACCCAGAUAAAAAACUUAUUAGUAGUUAUUUAUUAAGUGAAACUAUAAUUGUUUUAAAAAUGAAUUAUUUCAGCAAGAUAAGAGCUGAUUAUUUAUGUAUACAUCAAUAAAUUUAACUAGAUUUUUAUUUAUUUUUUUUUAUUUACACACCUUCUAACUUCUUUUUUGUUCAGCUGCCUGUGUGUUCUGUGGUGGAAGCGGUGCAAAAAUAAAUACAUCCAGAAAAGAAGAAUGAAAGGUGGUGUUUACUCUCUGAUCUUUCAGAAUGUAGACAGAAUUUACUCCUGUUAUUUUUUACCAUGUGCUAGUCACAGGGGUAGUUCAUGCUGCCAAGGUCCUCUUCUGAUUUGAAUAUGAUACAAAAGAUGAAACGUUUAACCUCACACUGUCACUGUUAAUCACUCCAUGUCCUCUCAUGAAAAUGUCUCUGACAAACGAUGCACAGUCCACACAUUGAGUUCCGGGGAAUGAAAUAGCUCCAUUACAAAUGUCCCUGCAGAGCUGCUGAGCAGGAAGUUCAAAGGCGUUCUGAUUGAUGUACCACUGUAUGAAAAAAACAUUGACAGCAAUAGCCCACAUUCCUCAUCGGGUUCGGCAGUGUCAGCUUCCUUUUCUCUCCAUCCUUCAUCUGCUCACCGCCCCGUCCCCUCCACGAUGAAAGUCGAACAAAUCUGCUGACAUUGAUCCUGUCUCCUCGGCCGGGCUAAUUUCAUUCCAGCCGGAGAGAGACGGCUAUCUCCAAAGAUCUUGACAGACAAUUGUAUUUACUAUUUUCUUUUCACAAGCCAAUAAAGGGGGAGCAGUUAUUGCAUCAGAUUAUAUGAAAAACCGUUUAAUGAUUCCAAUUUAUAACUCUAGACUGAAUAAUGAUACAGUUAAGAGCUGACAGGCCAUGAUAAAUGAAGGCUCAUAUAAAACAUAUUUAGAGUGAAGAAUGGCUGGAGAUGAAUUGCGCUGUGAUACAAACUCAUGAUAAAGAACAGUAAGAGCCACUAGAAGACUUAAUAAUGUGCUAUUCAUUUUGAAGUGAUUUUGCUGGUUAAUAAAGGAGCACAAAUUAAAAAUAUAUUUAUUGUAGAAAGAUGUCUCAGAAUAUUACCCCCAUGACGCUGCCACCCAUGGCUAAUCUAAUCAGGGCUCAUCUCUUUAGAUUGAACCUUUCAACUCCUCAUUUUUUUUCACCCCUUGACUGCAGACUUAGCGCUUUUCAAUACACAUUAGCUGCUUGAAGUCUAUACAGUAUGAUAUUUUUCUGCAGAUUACUUUACAGAAAUGGGGACUCAAGUCACGACUUGGACACAAGUCGCACUUAAUUCAUGAAAACAAGGCCUUCGGACUUCAUUUAAGUUGAGAUCUAAAGAUUCUCUUGGACUUUAAUGGACGGUCUCCAUGAAUGAUCUUUAUCUAAAUUAUCAAACUUGAAAGUAAGCCAAUAACUGUAGAUCUAUUUGAGUAUAUACUGGUAGUGUUACACAAAAUUUCGAGGCAAUUCACUAUACUUCUUGACUGUAAGAGAAGCAAAUUAACUUACCAUGCACUGUAGGUUUGCCUGUUUUUCUUUUAUGCAACCAUCAAGAAACAUUUACAGUAGGUGCUCUGAUAAAGAUCCACAUAUUUUCCAUAUAAAGAGUGUGCUGGAUUUAUUGAAAAGGAACAUUCACAGAAUGUAGCCUAUUGGUGGUAAUGAUGCUUGUUUGUUGUACUAUAAUAUUUUUGACCAUGACCUGAAGUGUUUAUGAAUAACUUUUAAGUCCUUUCUGAUCAAAACAAUUUUACAUCACACAACAAAAGAUCUUUAGGACUGCUUUAAAUGGAACAUAGUUCACUUUCUGGGAAAGUCUGUCACAUUUGGAUAUGUAAAAGAUUAUGAAUGCUGGUAAAGUCCAAACACACAGACUUCUAGAAACACAAAUCUUGAUCGCCUGCAAGUGAAUCUGGGUGCAGUUUGGUUAUAGGGGGCGACAUAAACAGAACAUCUAGCAAACCAAAGUGUCAGAAAAUCAGUCUGUUGUUGUAUCUCUCGUGUAUACAACUGGGUAUUAGUGAUUCAUUUGGUGCUCACACUGGGCAACUUCUUGUGAAAAUGUAUUUAGAUCAGAACAAAUCAGAACUGAGGCCUCUGGUCACUGAUACUCAUGGACACAAAUCUAAUUACAUUCACAUAUUAUGGUAAAACAAUUAUGAGUCCUUUAAUAAUUACAACUAUGGUAAAAUGAAAGUACAGCCUGAAGCCAUAUUCUAAUGAUGCCCAUUACUGUGAAUGCCUUAGUCUAUUUUAAAUUUAACAAAGCUUUUAUUUAAAUGUUUUUGACCCAAUUACAUAACAUUGUGCAGACAGAAUAAAAGAUGAACAAUAAAUUAAUUAUAUGCGGAGGAGUAAGUUCAUUAGAUAUUGUCUUUCUCUUCAAAAGUAGCUUUUUCCGUUAUAACAAGAUUUAGAAAAUUUUAUAUUUUCUAAAUCUUUCACAAAUCAUUAGUAAGUAUUGUGUUUUCCGUUCGUCUAGGGGUUUUUUUACGUAAAAAUAAUCAGAUCUUUACCAGGUUCAUCCAAACAUGCACAGGGAGAACAUGCAUGCUCCAUGCAGAAAUAUCCCAGGCCGGGAAUCAAAUCCUGGACGUUUUUGCUGCAAGGCAACAGUGCUACCAACUGCACCACUGUGCAGCCCAUAAAGAUACCAAUGCAUCACUCGGCAGUAAUUAUAAAAACAGAAUAAUGUACAAAGCUUAAAUAUUGUAAUAAAUUAGCUCAAUACAUAUAACAUGUUUCUUUCCAGUUUCAUUAUCCUUUAUGCCAUUCUCACAACUCUUUUCAACUUUUACCUCUAGUUGAGUGAUUACAAAUAUUUCAUGGACCUCAAUAAUACUUCAACAAUUAGAAAAAAAAUAAAUAAAUAAAAACUAAUAAACGUUUCCACAAAGUCUUUUUUUUCUCCUUUUGCUGAGAGGUAUCUCCACCCUUCUGUUCACUUAGUUCAGGAUCAGUUAUGAGACAGGAUUGCUGGUUCCCUGCAAAAACUGCAGAUAAAUUUAUACAUAUUUGAAGCCAUUUUAGCCAUAUUUUAUAGUAUUGUUCAUCUGCCUAAUACUUUGUGCAUUAUAUUGUACCUCAAGGCUCCUCAGUCACAAUUUCAGUUUCUUCUACUGACACCAAUUUAGUUUCUUUUUAUUGUCUUUCCAAACAGGAAGGAAAAUUUGAAUCCUGAAAAAUGUCAUUUCUCUUUUUAAUUGGAUCAAGGACUAAACUGUUCUUGGGUCAGUAUUAACUUCUAUGUAUUGCUAGACAUUGCUCAAUCAAGAGAAAUUAUUUUGAUUGAUUGCCACUGAAAUAGCCUGGUAAAAUCCAAUGCUUUGUUUAAAACUUUUGCUUUGUUCUCAAGGCCUGGACUCUCAGCUAUUGAGAAACUCUGUAGAAGUUUUAAAUUUUAAUGAAUUGCUAAUGUUUGCCUGUGACAGAUUGACGAUUUGAAGCUUACUGGAAAUUGCUUGCACUGUAAAAAUGAAAAUAAGAAGGCCCAGAUAUUGCUCUUAGGCAGAAUUUUUCAGAGUGGAAUUACACAGGAAGGAAAUGACAAGGCUUCCACUGGACCCUUUAAAAUACAGCUAAUAUCCUAUGCAAGAUUAAUUCACUCACAAAUCAAUUUUGAUUGGUUGAAGUUUCUUAUAUCAUGCAUUUUUGCUUUGCCCAUCAGAAACAGUCUCUCUGAGAGAGCGCCCACAUCACACUUAUGGAAGAUCCAGGAUCACAUUACCAGAACCUCAAAUUUUGAAUAAAUUUGGUGUUCAUCUA